rnacentral:lncRNA from 1 species
CGGUGGAGGUGGUGGUUUCGGUGGAGGUGCCAGAGGCGGUGCAGGCGGCGGUGCCGGUGCAGGAAGCGGUGCCUGUGGUGGCCUUAGAGGUGGUUCAAAUGGAGGAGGAGGACUCGGUGGUGGUGCCGGAGGAGGUUCAGGUGGUGGCCUCGGAGGUGGUGCCGGUUCCGGUGGUGGACUUGGAGGUGGCGCCGGAGAAGGUGCCGAUUCAGGUGGUGGGCUCGGUGGUGGCGCAGGAGGAGGUUCAGGUGGUGGGCUCGGUGGUGGCGUGGGAGGCGGAGCAGGAGGAGGCCUUGGAGGAGGUNN